UACGUAGGCAGCGAGCGUUGUUCGGAGUUACUGGGCGUAAAGGGUGUGUAGGCGGUUGUUUAAGUUUGGUGUGAAAUCUCCCGGCUCAACUGGGAGGGUGCGCCGAAUACUGAAUGACUAGAGUGCGGGAGAGGAAAGUGGAAUUCCUGGUGUAGCGGUGAAAUGCGUAGAUAUCAGGAGGAACACCGGUGGUGUAGACGGCUUUCUGGACCGUAACUGACGCUGAGGCGCGAAAGCGUGGGGGAGCAAACAGG
rnacentral:rRNA from 1 species